CUCACGAUGUAUACCAUGAAAAUACACUAAUUUGCGCUGAUUGUUUCGCCGCCACCGCCCGCGGGCUUCUUCUCCACCGCUCCUAUGGUGCCUUCUUGAUUAUACUCUUACUAUUGAUCAUUUUUCUUUCAAUUUUUUUUGUUCAUUGAAAUCAGGUGAUGAGAAAAAAACUGCAACAAUAUGAUGGAGUCUGCAGCAGGUGCCGGUUAAUGGUAACCCGUCUGCCGCAUGAAGCCUAAACAAAUCCAAGAUGAAGAUCCAUUAGAGUUAAUUGUACUCUCUUGACACAAUAUCUUGGAUAUAUUUAUGUAUACAUAUUAUUUUCAAUGGCAUAUCUCAGACAACGGGUAUUUUCUUCUUAUUUCUAUGAGAAUUUGCCUUUUGCACGGUGCCUAGACAAUGCUACUUAUCACGAUUGAAGGAUGUUCUGUUUUAUUCCCAGCAUUCUUUCAAAUUAAUAGUAGUCAAAUUAUUUUAAGCAUUGAUGAGAUAGCGAACAUGUAAGGAGAUCUAUUUUAAGCUUGGAUCAGCUUGGAUCUUCAAUGAAAUUUUCUUGUUACGCUUGGCUUCUGAGCUUUUUCUCUUACUUUUCAGAAAACCUGAUUAAAAAAGCAGGGAUCUAUUGCCUUCUUUGAGAAUGGGUCUCUCGUAAAUGUCAGGGAUAUCAAGAAAUGCAUUGUUAUUGGGUGAACCACUUGACUUUAUUUAUGAUGGAAUGGUUCAGUAAACGAUGAUACAUUAUUAUUUAUGAUCAAUUUAGAUGUAUAUGUAUACUUAUUUAGUCAAAAUCAAACGAUGAGAAAAAAACUGCAACAAUAUGAUGGUUAAUUCCAUGAUUCGUAGUAUUUAAGUCUCUGAUGAUUACUUUAUAUAUAUGUAACUGAAUUCGGUUUUGGUGCAAGAUUUAUUUCUGGAAUUUUGAUGUUUUGCUUA